rnacentral:rRNA from 1 species
AACGAACGCUGGCGGCAGGCUUAACACAUGCAAGUCGAACGCAUCCUUCGGGGUGAGUGGCAGGCGGGUGAGUAACGCGUGGGAACGUGCCCUUCAGUUCGGGAUAACCCAGGGAAACUUGGGCUAAUACCGGAUACGUGCGAGAGCAGAAAGAUUUAUCGCUGAAGGAUCGGCCCGCGUCUGAUUAGCUAGUUGGUGGGGUAAUGGCCCACCAAGGCGACGAUCAGUAGCUGGUCUGAGAGGAUGAUCAGCCACAUUGGGACUGAGACACGGCCCAAACUCCUAUGGGAGGCAGCAGUGGGGAAUAUUGGACAAUGGGCGCAAGCCUGAUCCAGCCAUGCCGCGUGAGUGAUGAAGGCCUUAGGGUUGUAAAGCUCUUUCGUCCGGGACGAUAAUGACGGUACCGGAAGAAGAAGCCCCGGCUAACUUCGUGCCAGCAGCCGCGGUAA